UGGGAUCUUAGCUCCCCGACCAGGGAUCAAACCCACACCUCCUGCACUGGAAAGCGAUGUCUUAACCACUGGACCACCAGGGAAGUCCUUGUGCUCUGCCAUUUUAUAUAAGAGACUUGAGCAUCCGUGGAGUUUGGUACCCCUGGGAUCUCCUGGAACCAAUCCCCUGCAGAUACUGAGGGACAACUGUACAACGUUUGAGCCUCUUCCGAAACCCCAGAUUUUAACUUCUUGCUGGAACCAGGCACUCUAGCCACUGAAGAGCUGAGAGGCCAAACCGAAGAAGAGAGACAAUCAGAGAUUAACAUCAGCAAGAAGCCACGCACACCCCAGGGAUGGAGAGAACUUGGGAGGAGGCCAGCAGCUAGAGACAUGCGUUUGGGAACUAGAAUCACACUGGGCCAUUCAGUGGGAGCUGGAGCCCCACAGCUGCUGGUGGAGAUGCUGCAGAAUCCUGAGCCUCUGCUUAUACCUUAAAGGCAAGAGAAUUUUACUUAGUUCCUAAGGCAGUUAAGCCUAGAGGAAGAUCUUAAGAAGAUACCCUGAAAGUGGCGUUUGACAUUUAAAGGAUGGAUAAGUCAUUCUCAAUGUCUCCAAAGUUAAACUCCG